rnacentral:rRNA from 1 species
GAUGAACGCUGGCGGCGUGCCUAAUACAUGCAAGUCGAGCGAACAGACGAGGAGCUUGCUCCUCUGACGUUAGCGGCGGACGUGUGAGUAACACGUGGAUAACCUACCUAUAAGACUGGGAUAACUUCGGGAAACCGGAGCUAAUACCGGAUAACAUGUUGAACCGCAUGGUUCAACAGUGAAAGACGGUUUUGCUGUCACUUAUAGAUGGAUCCGCGUCGCAUUAGGUAGUUGGUAAGGUAACGGCUUACCAAGGCAACGAUGCGUAGCCGACCGGAGAGGGUGAUCGGCCACACUGGAACUGAGACAGGGUCAAGACUCCUACGGGAGGCCGCAGUAGGGAAUCUUCCGCAAUGGGCGAAAGCCUGACGGAGCAACGCGGCGUGAGUGAAGAAGGUCUUCGGAUCGUAAAACUCUGUUAUUAGGGAAGAACAACUGUGUAAGUAGCUAUGCACGUCUUGACGGUACCUAAUCAGAAAGCAACGGCUAACUACGUG